UCCUACGGGAAGGCAGCAGUGAGGAAUAUUGGGCAAUGGGCGAAAGCCUGACCCAGCCACGCCGCGUGUGUGAUGAAGGCCUUCGGGUCGUAAAGCACUGUGGGGAGAGACGAAACAGCGCAUCAGGAAAUGGUUGCGCCUUGACGGUACCUCCUUAGCAAGCMCCGGCUAACUYUGUGCCAGCARCCGCGGUAAUACAGAGGGUGCAAACGUUGCUYGGAUUUACUGGGCGUAAAGCGCGUGUAGGCGGACUCGCAAGUCGGUUGUGAAAUCCCUGGGCUCAACCUAGGAACUGCAUCCGAAACUGCUUGUCUUGAGUAAUGGAGAGGGUGGCGGAAUUCCCGGUGUAGAGGUGAAAUUCGUAGAUAUCGGGAGGAACAUCAGUGGCGAAGGCGGCCACCUGGACAUUUACUGACGCUGAGACGCGAAAGCGUGGGGAGCAAACAGGAUUAGAUACCCUGGUAGUCCACGCCGUAAACGAUGAGAACUAGGUGCAGCGGAUAUUGACCUCUGCUGUGCCGUAGCUAACGCGUUAAGUCUCCGCCUGGA
rnacentral:rRNA from 1 species